UGCAAGAACGUUUGUUCAUAACAUUAAGAGAACCUUGCCAGAACGUUCCCUGUUAGCUGGGCGAUCUGCUUGAAUCACUUCUGUAAAAAAGCAACUACAUAUUUUCCAUUUUACCUCAGAAAGGUGAAUUACGUGAAUAAAAACAAAUAUCUUCAGUAAAUAUCUUGAUUAAAGAAUGAUUAGAUAUUUGUGCUGGAAAACGAGAAACGCAGAUGUGUGGAGUGAAUCCGGCGUCUCGCGCGUGUCUGGUAUAAUGAGUGUGUGUGGGAGCGGGUGGCCUCCUUCAGGUCCUCUCGUCUCACAGAACAGAAAUAGCGGCGGCGGUGAAUUCUCUCUGCGGUGUUUUCAAAAUGGAAAUAAAGGCGUGAGCGUGAAUCCACUUCCUCUGGAGUCUUACGUAAAGCUUCUCAGAUUUCAUCUGGUUCCACUUAAAGCGCCUGCUGUUCAGAAACACCUUCCACUGCUUCAUAUUUGACUCCUGAUGAAACAUCUGCUGACAGCUGGAGCGCUGUGAUGAUUGAUGACUGCAGGAGACCCACACGGAGUGUGUGUGUGUGUGUGUGUGUGUGUGUGUGUGUGCGUGUUCUUCCUCAGUAUUUUUCUCUUGUUUUCCAGUAGGUUCUAUACUGUAAAUCAGCUGAAUGAUUUAUGAACAACGCUUCAGAAUAUAGAUAUGAAUAGAAGAGUGUUUUUGCCUGUGGUGAAUGCAUUAAAUGUGUAGUUUUACAGCAUCUCCAGUGUUCGUCUCUGAUCACGUGUCGACGCACCGCACCGACUGUGCCGUUUAUCAUCCCACUCUAUUAACUUCCUGUCCAGCACAACAAUGAGCAACGACACACGGCAUCUGAGCCGCUCUGGCCAGCAAACGGCCUGUCUGUAUGUGUGUGUGUGUGUGUGUGUGUGUUUCAGAUCUGAUCCCGAGGGUCGUAACAGGAAGAGAGUAACGCAGCUGUGCAGUUCAGUGAGCUUGACUGUGUGUGAAUUAGAUUCCAGUGUUUCUGUCUCAAAUAUCCAAACAUUCUUCAAUCAAGAUACAUUUACUGGAGAAGAGAAAUGGCUUCAGCACAUAUUCCGGAGGGCGUGGCUUUAGAACGAGAACGCCCUUCAUCUUAAAAACAGCUACAAGUAUCAGGACACAGAAAACUGAUGGUUCUGAACGCCUGUUAACCUUCAGUAAAGCAGUCACAGUUAUGAAUCAUCUUCUCAAAUCCCAUUCAGAGCAUUUUUGCAUCAGCACAAACAUCUCAAUGUUACUGGAGAGGCAAAAUGACUGAAGAUAUUUGAAGCUCACUGAUUGGCUAACAAACUGGAUACGGUUGCCAUGGCACCUGCCAAACCAUUCAUACUGUACAGCCGAACGUCUUCAGAUGAGUCAGCAGUUCUCAUCCAGUACGAACACACAGAUCACAUCAUGUGAUGAGAGCAGGAGAUAUCUUCAGGUUCUGCAGAUAUAUUCGUUCAUUCAUCAGCAAAUUGUUUCUGACUCUCACCUGACUU